rnacentral:rRNA from 1 species
CCUGACGGUAGUCGUAUGCUCGUCUCCGAGACUAAGCCAUGCAAGUCCAAGUACACGUCCUUGAACGACGGAAACUGCGAACGGCUCAUUAAAUCAGUUGCGAUCUACUCGGCGUUCCGCGCCGCCGGAUAACCGUAGUAAUUCUAGGGCUAAUACGUGCGAAGCGCCCGAAGCCGCGAGGCGACGGGCGUUCUCGCCGGAUGUAGGAACCGACCCGGGGACCGCCGGGGCAACCCGGCGCCCCCGAGACGGGGCGAACCACGGUGAAAUGACGGAUCGUCGGCCCCGCGCCGGCGACUCGCCGAAUGAGUUUCUGACCUAUCAACUCGAGACGGCGGGGUAGAGGCCCGCCGCGGUAACGACGGGUAACGGGGAAUCAGGGUUCGAUUCCGGAGAGGGAGCCCGAGAAACGGCUACCACUUCCAAGGAAGGCAGCAGGCG